rnacentral:rRNA from 1 species
UAAGGAAUAUUGGUCAAUGGAGGCAACUCUGAACCAGCCAUGCCGCGUGCAGGAUGAAGGCCCUAUGGGUCGUAAACUGCUUUUAUACCGGAGAAAACCACCGUACGUGUACGGUGUUGAUAGUAUGGUAAGAAUAAGCAUCGGCUAACUUCGUGCCAGCAGCCGCGGUAAGACGAAGGAUGCAAGCGUUAUCCGGAUUCAUUGGGUUUAAAGGGUGCGUAGGCGGACUGAUAAGUCAGUGGUGAAAUCUCUUUGCUUAACAAAGAAACUGCCAUUGAUACUGUCGGUCUAGAGUAUAGAUGACGUUGGCGGAAUAUGACAUGUAGUGGUGAAAUACUUAGAUAUGUCAUAGAACACCGAUUGCGAAGGCAGCUAACGAAACUAUAACUGACGCUGAGGCACGAAAGUGCGGGGAUCAAACAG